rnacentral:rRNA from 1 species
GAUGAACGCUGGCGGCGUGCUUAACACAUGCAAGUCGAACGAUGAAGCCCAGCUUGCUGGGUGGAUUAGUGGCGAACGGGUGAGUAACACGUGAGUAACCUGCCCAUGACUCUGGGAUAAGCCUGGGAAACUGGGUCUAAUACCGGAUAGGAACGUCCACCGCAUGGUGGUUGUUGGAAAGAUUUAUCGGUCAUGGAUGGACUCGCGGCCUAUCAGCUUGUUGGUGAGGUAAUGGCUCACCAAGGCGACGACGGGUAGCCGGCCUGAAAGGGUGACCGGCCACACUGGGACUGAGACACGGCCCAGACUCCUACGGGAGGCAGCAGUGGGGAAUAUUGCACAAUGGGCGAAAGCCUGGUGCAGCGACGCCGCGUGAGGGAUGACGGCCUUCGGGUUGUAAACCUCUUUCAGUAGGGAAGAAGCGAAAGUGACGGUACCUGCAGAAGAAGCACCGACUAACUACGUGCCAGCCGCCGCAGUAA